GAUGAAGAACGCAGCGAAAUGCGAUAAGUAAUGUGAAUUGCAGAAUUCAGUGAAUCAUCGAAUCUUUGAACGCACCUUGCGCUCCUUGGUAUUCCGAGGAGCAUGCCUGUUUGAGUGUCAUUAAAUUCUCAAUCUUUAUGGCCUUGUGCUAUGCUGAUUGGAUGUGGGAGCUUAUGUAGGAUUGAAAAGUUCUACUCUCCUUAAAUACAUUAGCUGGAAUGCCUUUGCAAAACCAACUAUCAGUGUGAUAAUUAUCUAUGCUGGAGUGGUUGCAUAAAGGGAAUCUGCUUCUUAACUGUCCUAUGGACAAUAUGAAUCAUUUUGACCUCAAAUCAGGUAGGACUAUCCGCUGAACUUAAGCAUAUCAAUAAGCGGAGGA
rnacentral:misc_RNA from 1 species